rnacentral:misc_RNA from 1 species
GAUGAAGAACGCAGCGAAAUGCGAUAAGUAAUGUGAAUUGCAGAAUUCAGUGAAUCAUCGAAUCUUAGAACGCACAUUGCGCCCGCUAGUAUUCUGGCGGGCAUGCCUGUCCGAGCGUCAUUUCAACCCUCAAGCCCCCGGGCUUGGUGUUGGGGAUCGGCGAGCCUCCGCGCCCGCCGUCCCCUAAAUCUAGUGGCGGUCUCGCUGUAGCUUCCUCUGCGUAGUAGCACACCUCGCACUGGGAAACAGCGCGGCCACGCCGUUAAACCCCCAACUUCUGAACGUUUGACCUCGGAUCAGGUAGGAAUACCCGCUGAACUUAAGCAUAUCAAUAAGCGGAGGA